rnacentral:hammerhead_ribozyme from 1 species
AUCCAGCCGAUGGGUCCCAAAUAGGACGAAACACGCUUCCUGGAU